GUGCUCGCUUCGGCAGCACAUAUACUAAAAUUGGAAUGAUACAGAGAAGAUUAUCAUGGCCCCUGUGCAAGGAAAAUGCUGUGUUUGAUGACAUACUGAGAUGCCUG